GCGAGAGGCCAUUGUGGGACGGGGUAAGGUCGCGGGGCUUGAAAAAAGUUUUCUUGCUUCUGGAUUUGGGCCGGACCCUAGCUCUGCAUCGCAACCAUGUCGUCCAAGCAAGGUGGAAAAGCCAAGCCUUUGAAGAAACCCAAGUCUGAUCAGAAAGAAUACGACGAGGUUGAUUUGGCUAACCUUCAGAAGAAAAAGGAAGAGGAAAAGGCACUAAGGGAGCUGAAAUCCAAGGCACAACAAAAGGGGGCCUUUGGAGGUUCUGGGCUGAAGAAGAGUGGAAAGAAAUGAAGGCUUUCCCAGCAUAUUAGUACCCUACGCAUAGUUAUUGAGCUGUCACUAAAUAUGCUACGAGAGCAUGUCUAAUUAAUGUGGUCUUUGUCUAAGAGAUACUUUCUUGCUUGUAUUUGUGAACCCAAGUGCGUUGUGUUACACGCACAGUAAAUUUCUUGUUUGCAGCUUUCCUCUAAGACUGUCUUGCUACUUAUUGUUGUGAAAUGUGAUUGCUUUAGCAAGGUGGUUAGACGUGUAUCAUCAUGACAAUUGAGGAAUAUAUCUCCCCUUUAGGAAAAAGUCCCCUUGUGUGUCUGAGAUUGACAUUCAAUACCAAGAAGGGUUUAAUCAA